GAGUUUGAUCGUGGCUCAGAUUGAGCGCUGGCGGCAUGCCUUACACAUGCAAGUCGAACGGCAGCAUGAUCUAGCUUGCUAGAUUGAUGGCGAGUGGCGAACGGGUGAGUAAUACAUCGGAACGUGCCCUGUAGUGGGGGAUAACUAGUCGAAAGAUAGCUAAUACCGCAUACGACCUGAGGGUGAAAGUGGGGGACCGCAAGGCCUCAUGCUAUAGGAGCGGCCGAUGUCUGAUUAGCUAGUUGGCGGGGUAAAGGCCCACCAAGGCGACGAUCAGUAGCUGGUCUGAGAGGACGAUCAGCCACACUGGGACUGAGACACGGCCCAGACUCCUACGGGAGGCAGCAGUGGGGAAUUUUGGACAAUGGGCGAAAGCCUGAUCCAGCAAUGCCGCGUGUGUGAAGAAGGCCU
rnacentral:rRNA from 1 species